GCUCCAGUGGCCUAGGGUUAGAGCGUCCGCCUCGGAUGCGGAAGGUCGUUUGUUCGAUCCCCGACCGAGUCA